CUUUCCAGAACAAUACCCAGGUCUUGUUUUCUUUUUCUUUUCUUUUUUUUUUUUUUCCUGUGUAUGGUCUGUAGUCUGUGGAUGAAGCUAACAUCACAGCCAAUGAACUGAAGAAUUUCAGAGAGCAGAAAAUAAGAAGGCUGAAGGAUCAGCUGAAAGUCCUCCUGGGAAAUAAAAGAGCAGAGAAGAAUACUUCAAGUAAUUUUAACCCGUUUCAGAACCUGAUGAAACAAUACAGUGAAACACAAGCCUUCUUAGGAAGGGAUUUUCAUCCAGAUUUGGAAGAGCUGAGAAUGAGACUAGAAGAAGGAAAAGAAAGAGACACACAGCAGAACAACAGUCCCCUGUCAUCUAUCACAGAGUCUUCCUGGACUCCAGGGAUACACCAUGAGGCAGAUGACCAGCUCCUAUUGUUCUUGACUGAGAGCACUGAUAAAACUAAGCACAUAAAAACAUCUUUGCUUCUUGGUCUUCUGAAAAAUGUCAAU
rnacentral:lncRNA from 1 species